rnacentral:rRNA from 1 species
CAGUAGCCGCGGUAAUACGGAGGGUGCAAGCGUUAAUCGGAAUUACUGGGCGUAAAGCGCACGCAGGCGGUCUGACAAGUCAGAUGUGAAAUCCCCGGGCUUAACCUGGGAACUGCAUUUGAAACUGUCAGGCUGGAGUAUUGUAGAGGGGGGUGGAAUUCCAGGUGUAGCGGUGAAAUGCGUAGAGAUCUGGAGGAAUACCGGUGGCGAAGGCGGCCCCCUGGACAAAGACUGACGCUCAGGUGCGAAAGCGUGGGGAGCAAACAGGAUUAGAUACCCCUGUAGUCCCUGUCUCUUAUAC